GCACGAGUGGUGAAAUUGGCAAAAACGCCAGUCUUAGGAACUGGUGCCCGAGAGGGUGUGGGUUCAAAUCCCGCCUUGUGUA
rnacentral:tRNA from 1 species